UUCCGAGUUGUGGUGCAAAUGCUGUGGAACAACUGAUUGCAGAUAAAAUGAGGUCCUAUAUAUGAAUUGCUGCUUUGGCUGUAUACAACCAUAUAUGCUGCUGCGCUGACAGCUACUGGAGGAGUAAAACUUAUUCUUUGGCUUUAUUGCAGAAGCUGUGAGGAGUUAUUGGCUGUGUUGCUAACUGGCCCCAAAAGAAAAAGAUGGUGGUUCAAUUUGGGCAGCCCAUCAAGCGCUAGUGGACCAAGGAUACACCAGCCCGUUAUCCUUCCACUGCAGAGAGGAGGAGGUUAUCGCUGCUCUGUGAAGCCAGCCUCACGCGGUGCCCUCCAAUCUAAGAGCCGUGAAGCCUCCGCCUUCGAAGAGAAUCCACAGCACAACUCACCACUUGGAACGGGCAGGCCAGUAGAGAGCAACCCAAGCCCAGCCUUCAGGGCAAGUCCAACUGUUCCAGCAUCUCAAAGCUCCCACUGGGGUUAUAGGCUCGCGCUACCAAGCCCAGCGAGCAGUUCUUCAAACUACGGCCUUAUUAAGAGAAAAUAUUUGUGCUCUAUUUUCGAUGUGGGAAAUUGUUCGAAGACAUGCUUGGCUUUCAUAGCAAAAAGUGGAGCAGAGAAGUGUCUGUGUGUAUGGGUUUUGUCAGCCAUGAGAUUUGCGUUGUAUAGAUUGGUGAAUGUUUGAGAUGUAUGCUAUAGCCAUUAUAGAUUGGAGUAUCAUAUCAAAAGCUCAUCUUGCCCAAAGAUGAGAACUGGAAAUAAUCAGCAGUGGAUUUUUUCCGUCUUCAUCGUCAGCAAAUUGAAGAAGCUGACAUUGCAGGAUUGUCAGCAGCCCUCAUGGAUUCAAGGUAAAGUUGGUAAUUGAGGAGAUUGAGAGAGAAGAAGCAUCUUUGCACGAAGAUUUACAUUCAUCAGACAGAAAGUUUGCAGAAUAUUACAUAAAUAUGAUGAAACUAAUCUCGGUCUGUUUUCUAAAGGAUAUGAAUUAUGAUCAUUGUUGUUUUCGAAAUGGAAACAGCCACUCAAAACCUUGCCCUCUUUUCAUUGUAUGCAAAGAUGAGAGCUGAAGCUUAUACCCUUCCCAUCUUUUGAGGUGACUGCAGAUAUCCCAUCCCUAUAAUCAUUCUCAAUUUUUCAGUGGAACAAGUUGAACUAGUGUGCACCAACUUGCCAACUUGGCUGUCGUUUUGUAAGUAGAAAAUGAUGUAAAGUUUAGUUUUGGGUUGAACAGAUUUAGGUUUUGUGGCCUGGGUAUGUUCCAUGUGGAAUGCAUUACAGACUUGAAUGUUAAUAGAAAUAAUGUGUGGUCUCACAACUGUAUAAUUCUAAGUCCAGUUGGCUACAUGCGGCAUGAAUAUUUAUUUAUCAAUUUUUACUACAAAUUGGUUUGACCCCA